rnacentral:rRNA from 1 species
UACGGGGGGGGCAAGCGUUGUUCGGAAUUACUGGGCGUAAAGGGCUCGUAGGCGGCCAACUAAGUCGGACGUGAAAUCCAGCUGCUUAACAGAUGGGCUGCGGAGGAUACUAUAAGACUAGGAGGCAGGAGAGGCAAGCGGUACUCAGUGGGUAGGGGUAAAAUCCGUUGAUCCAUUGAAGACCACCAGUGGCGAAGGCGGCUUGCCAGAAUGCGCUCGACGGUGAGGGAUGAAAGCUGGGGGAGCAAACCGG